CUCCUGGUAGAAAAUUAGAUGAAAAUCCUCUGCUUAAGAAUGAAACACCAUCAGAAGCUAAAAACGGUUGUUGAAACCAGGAACUGCUAGAGCAAAUAGACGCAAUGCGUUUCUUAUAACAGAGCCAAAAGCUAUAACUAUUGAUGAUCAACUGCCUGAGGAUAUAGCUUCAGUUUUAAACAGGCGGUCUCAAGUUAACCUUGAAGCUUCAGGAAGUGGCAGUUUUGAUAGUUAUGAUGAAGCAUCAUAUGAAAAGGUUAUGCUUAACCAUCAGGAUUUGGUGUCAAAACCCAAAUGCAAGUAAAGAAGCAAAGAACUCUCAAAAGGAAAGACUCUCUACUCGUGAUGAUGUAUCAGAUGAAAGUCUCAUGUUUAUGCAGCAAGACUUAAAGUUAGAAACAGAAAUUCAUGUAGAGAAACAAAAAUCUUCUGGACCUGAAAGUGUCACUAGUGAUAAAGUACCAGAUGAAAAUCCUGUGCUUGAGCAAGAGUCAAUGUCAGAAACUCAACUGGAAGUAAAGAAACAAAGACCUUCUAAAGAAAGAAGACUCAGUUGUAAGUAUAAUAAUUAUAGAUAAUGUUAACUUAUUUUUAAUUAAACUCAUCAGAUUAUUUCUCUUUGGCUCAUGAGUAUGUAUUUGAAAUAUGCUGUAUAGAAGACUUAAUGUGUGAAUUCUCUCAGAUAACUAGAGAACAAAGGCAAAAUUAUUCAUAUCUCUUGUUUGGUAUUUCUGAUUUUGUGGUCAUAGGUCAAUCACUCAGCAUCUACCAAGGCCCUAUAAUAGACCAGUAAAUGUCUCUUAAAGGAUGUUUACCUUUCAGCUGACUCUUAGAGGUGUGCGUUUGAAAGCCUAAAGGGUGCCUCUGGCCUAUUUCAGUGGUCUUCUGCCACAGCCUCCAACUGGUAAACAGAAAUGCUACUGAAUUCUGUAACUCAAAGAACAAAUAGGGAUUAGAAGGGUGCCAGGGAAGGGCAGCCUGAUGACCUGUUGGAGGGCCUCCAUGGCAUCCUCUUAGUCAUUACCCCAUGGAAAGGAAGCGGCCUUUCUAUUUACCCUAUAGAUGAGUGUCAUCACAGACCAUACAUAAGGAAAGUGAAAAUGUAAUCUCUUAGUUGUCCCACCAGUCUCUGGGCCUUCUCUUCAUUUGUGGAAGUAGAGAGGACCAAAGCUUGGCACUAUUUUCUGGAAUGAGAUAUCUUGCCUCUUACAGAUCAUGCUCAGGAAUUUUAUUAAGAGUGCCUUGUCCAUAAUAAUGGCUCCACAGAGUUGCCAUAUGUCGGUCUGUGGGGCAUCCAUCCAGUCUUUGUCUAGUAGUGCCCAUGUUGGACCCAAAGACAAUGUCAUCAAUAAAGUGGAAGUCUGUUGCACCCUUUGAUGGUGGAGCAUUUUCAUAUCAUCACUUUUGCAUUAAUGACAGAUAUUCAGAGAAUUUUGUUAGCCUUGUGGAAGUAUGGUAGUUCCUCUCAGGAAUACAAAGCAGGGUUUCACACUGACAGUUAACCUAUACUAAUGAUACGUAUAUCAGUGGGGCCAAAACAAUGGAAAUUUGUAGUGAUUUAAAGGACACACCCAUCGUUGGAUCUGGUAAGGAUCCCACUGGUAAUGGUCUCAGACCCAAUGGCCUGGGGUGCUUACCCAGAUCUCUCUCCUUAUGUGGUGAAUAUUGUGUGUUUCUCCAUCCUUCUGGUGUCAGGAGUUGAGAUGAUAGUCACAUAACCACCGUAUCCAAAAGACCCAGGAAAUAUACUGACCUCUGUCCUCAUGUUCCCCUGUGGACAUAGGGACUUGGUCUAACUCAUAGUCUUGUGCAUUUUGAAAGCAAAAUGUUCUUUUUCUUUUCUUUCUUUAAGACAUUUGUUUAUUUUUGGCUUUGCUGAAUCUUCAUUGCUUUGAGUGGGCUUUCUCCAGUUGCAGUGAGUAGGGCCUACUAUUUGUUGCAAUGCUCGGGCUUAUCAUUGCAGUGGCUACUCUUGUUGUGGACCACAGGCCCUGGGCACAUGGGUUCAGUAGUUGCAGCAUUCAGGCUCAGUCGUUUCAGCUCACCAGAUUUAGAGCUCAGGCUCAGUAGCUGUGGUGCAUGGGCUCAGUUGCUCCACGGCAUGUGGAAUCUUCCCGACCAGGGAUCGAUCUUGUGUCCCUGUAUUGACACUCAUCCACUGUGCCACCAAGGAAGUCCAGAGAGUUCUUGAUAGAAGUUGGUGGGUUCUCAGAAUACUCAUGUCUAAAUUCAGUGGAAAGCACUGAGCAGUGACACUUGUAUUAGUUGUAGGAGUCAUCUCUAGGUGGACACUAGUUCAGCUUCCUUCUAGGCAUCCAGUGGGUCUUCAGUUCCUUGGUAGUAAUCCCAUCAGCCUACCUCUCUGACAUCUCAUAUUGGAUAUUCACCGGUAGAUCUCUUCUGGGGAUCCAGGCCUAGAUUGUUCAGGAAUAGGUUACUGAUUAUCAUUUUCAUGUUGUUUUUACUGUUGGUCAGUCACUGCUACAUUGGCAGUAGGUGCUAUUCCGUGUCCAACAAUCUGUCAGUCAAUAUCUAGAUUGUAUAGUUCCCAAUAACCUGACCUUAGGAGGCUUAUUUGAGCUCAGUAGUUAUCUAGCAAGGGUGGCAUGAAUGAAUCAAGAAAUCCAAAUCUGGUUAAAUAUCUCACUGUCCUCAGUGUAGACCCUGGGACCACCAGUGUGGCACUAAGGGACACUAUCAUUUCUGCAGUGAUGAUCCAAACAUGUUUUUCAGUGGUAGAGAACUCAUCACAGGUUGGUCAUUCUGUCAGAUCCAAAAUAAUUCCCGGUGAUGAAGGAGAGAGUUUCAAAUGUAUGCUCUUUUAUUCCCACUUUUCUUCCACCUCCUCAGCCAACAUGACUGCUGUCAAGGCUCUCUAAAGAAGGUAUUUUGUACCUUCUGCACAGUGUGUGUGCGCUCCCUUCACUAAGUUUAACAAGAUUAAUACCUUUAGUAUGAAGGCAAACUACCAGGUUUCUUUUCUUUUGCUACUGGGAACAGUGAUCCUAUGGCUCUCUCUCUCUUUCAUUUUUUUUUUUGUUGUUGUUUUUGUUGUUGUUAAAACAUACAUCUCAGUAGCUCAUUGUUAGUCCCAGGAACAAAUUUAGAGCUAACAGUAGUUAGUGUGUACAGCUAGACAUUCAGGGUUUCCCACAGCUUUACAUCCCAUUGCUAGUGGACCAUAAGCUGCUGCUGCUGCUGCUGCUAAGUCGCUUCAGUCGUGUCCGACUCUGUGCGACCCCAGAGACGGCAGCCCACCAGGCUCCUCCAUCCCUGGGAUUCUCCAGGCAAGAAUAGUGGAGUGGGUUGCCAUUUCCUUCUCCAAUGCAUGAAAGUGAAAAGUGAAACUGAAGUCGCUCAGUCGUGUUCGACUCUUAGCGACCCCAUGGACUGCAGCCUACCAGGCUCCUCCGUCCAUGGAUUUUCCAGGCAAGAGUACUGGAGUGGGGUGCCAUUGCCUUCUCCGGAACCAUAAGCAGUAGCACACAAAUUGCUGCCCUAGCUUUCUCAGAGCCCCUCUGGUUAAUCUAAUUUGAUUGACCCAGCAGGUGUCUUGGCUAAUGAAUCAAGGUCUAGAGAAAAGAAACUGUUCCCCUCAGAACUGAAAAGCCUAAAGAAAUACAAUUGCACUUUCCUAAGGCACCCUGUGUGGUUGCUAGCCCUGUCCAAAACACACUGGCCUGGUUGUCACAGUGCCCCAGGGUCCGCUCAGACUCCUGCUAAUGCUCCUGUGGUACCCUCCCCACCUCACCCUAGAAGGUCCCACAGAUUUACUAAGUACAUCCCAAAGUGUGCCAUCCCGAAGUGUGCCUUCUGAAAGGCUUUGAGCUUCAUUUACCU
ensembl:lncRNA